rnacentral:rRNA from 1 species
UAGGGAAUAUUAGUAAUGGGCGAAAGCCUGAACUAGCAACGCCGCGUGUGCGAAGAAGGCCUUCGGGUUGUAAAACACUUUUUGAGAGGAUGAGGAAGGACGGUACUCUCAGAAUAAGUCUCGGCUAACUACGUGCCAGCAGCCGCGGUAACACGUAGGAGGCGAACGUUAUCCGGAUUUACUGGGCGUAAAGCGCGCGUAGGUGGUUUGGUAAGUAGGGCGUGAAAGCUCCUGGCUCAACUAGGAGAGGCCGUUCUAAACUGCCGAACUAGAGGAUGGUAGAGGGAGGUGGAAUUCCGGGUGUAGCGGUGGAAUGCGCAGAUAUCCGGAGGAACACCAGUGGCGAAAGCGGCCUCCUGGACCAUUCCUGACACUCAGACGCGAAAGCUAG